UACGGAGGGGGCUAGCGUUGUUCGGAAUUACUGGGCGUAAAGCGCACGUAGGCGGCUUUGUAAGUCAGAGGUGAAAGCCCGGAGCUUAACUCCGGAAUUGCCUUUGAGACUGCAUCGCUUGAAUCCAGGAGAGGUGAGUGGAAUUCCGAGUGUAGAGGUGAAAUUCGUAGAUAUUCGGAGGAACACCAGUGGCGAAGGCGGCUCACUGGUCCGGUACUGACGCUGAGGUGCGAAAGCGUGGGGAGCAAACAGG
rnacentral:rRNA from 1 species